AGAAAAUGUUGGUGCUGCAAUGCAAUUUCUUCAGUCUAAAGCACUAUGUAUAAUGCCUAUUUCUCUUGCAUCAGCAAUUUAUCACUCUCAGCCACCAGAUACAUCAAGUCUUGUUAAGCCAGAAACAAAUCCUCCUUCAUAGAUGAACACCCUUAUAGAAAAAGGUGACAUCAUAACAUGCUAAUGACCUUAAAGAAUUUUCUUGCAGUGGAUGGUUCCUACUUUUAUCUAUUCAAGUAAUAUUUAGCUUUUCGUUGAAAAAACAGGGUUCUUUUUUAAAAAU
rnacentral:misc_RNA from 1 species